AUGGUUGGGGGUGCGUGACCCCAUACCUCUAAAACUACCAUACGAGCCGAAGGCCCAAGGGCAAUAUCUAUAUGCAUAAAAGCCACGGAGAACAGGAAACACCGCACAUCAGCCCAGACUAGCGUCCAAAGGCAGUAACUGAGUUUCGGUGAGCUUACAUACGUUCCAACAUCCUCGCCAGACGUACUGGUUCCCAUUUCAUGGCCUCCAACAUGCUCUGUAUGUGUGUGUGUGCUUACAUGUGACAAGCCGUCAAGCCCCUAAACGGUUAAGAUAAUAAACAGCUACCCGCAAAAGGUAGUGCCGUAUUCUUUUCGCACAAAAUGUACUGUACAUUUUUAAGCGCACCCAAUCUUUUGUCGAUGUCACACCAUUGCACUCUGAGUCCUAUUAAGCCCAUCAUGCCAAGACGCUCCUUAGCUUGCGGAGGAAACAUCGAGUUACUUGUUGCCAUGCCUAAUAACACAAGUUUAGCUGCCAUGGCCAGAGGUAAGGUUAUGAGCUAUUACCGCCCCUUUUGCUGCUGCUUGCAGCUUUUGCUACCGCUACUGCUGCGUACGUAUGUUAUAAAUGCGUACUGCUACGAAAAUGCUGAUCCGUACACGAGUACUUAGUGUAAUUUAACCUUGUCCCAACAGGUACUCGCUGGUUUGGAGGCGAGGAUCAGAGUCACGGGACUCACGUUGUCGGAACCAUCGCCGGUGCCGUACUGAACAGUACUGGUGGCAUCUCGUUCGACGGUGCUACGGGUUCUGCACCAAUGGCACGCGUCAGUUUCUUUGGGACAUCUGCACCGUCGGAAAACAAGUUCAGGGUGCCAUCGCCGCUGGAUGAUAAGGUUCUCUCGGUAAGUUCAGAGUGGAGGUCAGGUGGGACUAGCUUGCUUAGGGAAACCUAAGAGCCUAUGAAAAAGGAGCAGGAACAGCAUCCUUGGCAAGGGGCGUGCAUUUUAAUCGACUUGAAUUGGAAACUGGAUAUUUGCUCGUCUUCAUGCUCGGUGCCCAUCAUGGCAUUUGGUGUACACCGACCCCCUUGUUUUGUCACAAAAUGAAAUUCGCGUCGUUCGUUAGCUCCUUGCGUGCCUGAAGUUCCGAUCCUGGCACACGCAUUAAUUGCAGUACCAUUACGGUGUUGGCGCUCGCAUCAGUUCGGAAAGCUGGGGCCGCUCCAGCGCACUAGGAGUGGCUUACCUGCCGACAUCGCGACAGUUCGACGCAUUCGCAUGGCGCAACCCCGACUUUGUGUCAGUCAUUGCCGCCGGCAACUUCGGUACGUUCCGCUGCGCGCUGAAUUUUUCUGAUAAGUAAGAAAGUAUAAAAUCGAUUAGUUGGCGUUUGUCUGCGGCUCAGAAUGCUGGCAUGUAAUCCCAGAAGUCGCUGUCUGGCAGCUGCACCUAUCCAGUCAUCCUUUGAAACUGGCUUUAAAAGGAUAUCCAUUCGUACGUAUGAGUGCGCUUAGCUAUCACAAAUAAGCUUCGUCGCUCGCUCGCUCGCUUGCGUCGGUUGCUCGGGCAACCGUCGGGCUCUGCAUAAUAAUCCGCGUGCAGCAAACUGUAUUAAUUAAAAUGUUGAAUUGGGUAAACCUCAGCUGAUGCCAUGCUGGCAUCUGCGCACUCCUAGGGAUGGAUGGUGGAGGUGGUCCUAUCCAGCUAACUUGCGUCGGCCUUCGGCGGUCUCGCACAAAUGCUGUGUUGCAGGUCGCAACGGUAUGGUAUCCAUCACGGCGCCGGGCACAUCCAAGGUACGGUAAAUCGUACGACAUUUCAAAGAUUUCGAAGCCUUGUAGUACAUGCUGUGUCUGGACGCUGGCACACGUACGACUUUCGACUGUGUGGUUUCUCUAAUCUAACAAGUGCAAUUUCUCACCCGCGCCUCGGUUUUUGCUUGCUUGCCAUUUGCCCCACAGAACGGCAUUACCGUUGGAGCAACCCACAAUUACCCCCAGGACACGGCUAGUGCUGGCCUCAACUACAUGUUUUUUAUCCGGUAUCGCGAUGCCAGUGGAACCAGAGUGGACUCCGCGGUAGGCAGGGAAGAUCCGGGUUUUGCUUGACACCGCAUGUCUUGGCUGCCCUGGUCGCCUUUGGUGCAGUAAUGCACGGCCAGAUGGCCCGCUCUGGUUCUGCCCUUCAGGAGGCUGGAGCCCACUGCAACAACCACACACACAACCGCACCCGCACCUCAUGAGCCAUGGUGCAGCUCGUUACUAUUUAUGGCUUCUUGGUGGCUGCUUCUAUUUCUAUGGCGCUAGUUCUCCUGCGGCUCUCCAUAACGCCGGCAGCCGAACCUCCCUGAUCUUUUUUUGUUACGUUCUUUCUCUCAUUCUUUUACCGUUUCCGUCUCCUGCCGUUGCAUGUCGCUUGUCGCGUGUGUGCCGAUUUUACAGCUGAUGCAUUACUUGCACAUAUGCCCGUUUACCUCUCUCCUUUCCUCCCCAUCCACUCCUUUCCUCUUUUGAAUCACCCUUUGAUUUUUCAUGCUGUGCAGCUGUGGCCCCGUAUGGGAACCGAUCAGACUGUUUGGAGGACACUUCUCGCGAAUAAGGUGCGUGGGCUGAAUCAGAUCUUUUAUCCUUUUUCAGCUCUUUUCUAUCCUUCAGAUCCUUUUUCAGCUCGACAGCAGCGAGGCUGCUGGGCUGCCUGCUGCUGCGAUGGAUGGACGAUGAUUUGGGUGUUACGAGCAAACAUUUGCCCUGCGAACCUAUUUAUAUAUUGCUCCACUUAUGGUACGUGUACCUGACAAUAACGGAUCGCUUGUCAAUUGCAGGAGGUUCCGGUGCGCCUUCCCAACCCAGAGAACGCAUGCACGGCCCUGCAAGGCAGCUACGCAGGCAGUGUUGUAAUUGUGGACCUGAAGCAAGGUUGCACAAACAACACAAUGACGUCCAAUAUCGUCAAGGCCGGUGCGGCCGCCAUCCUGUUCGUGGUUGCGGAUGACGGAUUUAUUGAGGGCCGGAAGCUCUGGACGCCAAGCACAGCCGUCACCUACUCGCUGAUGUCUCGGGUAGGGCUCUUCUGCAGUACGACUGCGUCCAUCCAAAUUCCCUCGAGACAGGACGAGCAAUUAUGUAAAUAGCAAAUGCAAGGCUGACAAACUUGUUGUAGUGCUACUUCCCGGAAUGGCUACUUUUUAUCUCGUUUUACAUUACAAUGGAGCCCUCCUGUAGAUUUGCCGAUCCAGCAUGCUAUUUGUCUGUCUGUUCUUUUAACACUUGUUGCAGAUUGGGAGGCUUCUGGGUCAUUUUGCACGCAUUUGGAUCGUCAUAUAGGAUUGAAUACUACUAUGCAUCACCAUCCACCGUUACUUCACCAUACGAACUGCAAGUCCAUGGCAGUUAAUUCUGCCCUCUACAAUCCGUUCUCAUCCUUUCACCAGCACAUCCGUAGGGUUCAGCAGUCGCCACCAAACCAGCGUGCGGAUCUCAGUCCAUUAACUGUCACCUUAACUCCACAUCUCGACCCUCGCCAUAAAUAAUUUCACGCUCCCGAAAAUGUUGGGGUCUACCUUGAAACCCAACCUAGGAUCGUUAACCGCAAAGUGCAGUGUUUCCCGACCAGACCUUGUCACUUUGUGAAUUGGUUGCUAAAGCAAGAAUGCUGUCGUGGAUAUUUGCUGGGCUUAAUGUAUACAGGUGCAAGGUAUGAACAUCAUUAAUGCCUUGAGAAACAGUUCCAACACCAACUUCGUUGCGACCUACCUCGAUUACGUAAGUUUAAUCGCUUUAAUAAUUGGUUUCAUGUUUAUCGAUGUAAUCGCUUGGAUCACUGUUUUUUAAUGUUUAAGAUUUAAGCAGGUUCGACAAUCGUAUAGAAGGGAAGCUAGGAUUAGAGCUGUCCUGCGCUGUCCUACGCUGACCUUACCGUUUUCUGACAAACUGCGCGCCGUUUUUCUCUUUAAAUGUGCCUCUCUCCCACAGCCCAACGUUAAUCUCGGCAUCGACAGCAUCGCGCAAUUCUCCGGCUCAGGCCCGCUCUAUGAUGGGCGCAUUAAGCCCGACGUUGUGGCGCCUGGCACUAACCUCAUCUCGGCGUGCGGCUCCACACUGGAUCCGGAAGCAACAAGUAAGCAGUGCCAUACUAAUAUACAACCGAACAAGAGCAUAGACUGCGGUCAUCCCGCCCUGGUCACAGUCACGAACGGGCUGGGGUGGGUUCGGUUUCUUAAACUGUUUGCGCACCCAGCCAAGCAGCGAAUGAAGUUACACGAACAUCGCUGCUUGCAGGACACCUAAAGAGUUCAAAAAACGAUUACCAGAGAUAAUCGAACAAUGCUUGCAGACCAUUGCAGAUAGGAUGUCAUGGCCUAUAUACAUGCCCGACUUUCGGCCUUACUUUGCGCCAUUGUUUACCACCCAUAACUGGCAUACUCGUUAGGGUUUGGACAUGACAGUUUUACCGCUUGCCUUCGCUCUCUGUCGGCCCCUAGCGCACAAGGCGCUUAUCCGCGUGCCUGACCUAUCAAUUCCACUAAUCGUGUACAUGUGCACUUCCCCCCACUCCGCAUCGGUCGGGCCGUUUGCAACUCUCAAAUCCGACCAGAUUAAGAUGCACAUGGUGCAUCUUUAACGCAGCUUAACCGCAUCUCAGGUUGCCAUCCGUCAUGCCAAUUUAAAAUUAUGUCCGCUAGCACAGAGCGCCUUGAUCUGCUGCCUCAAUCCGUAUGUAAGCUCAAAAAUAAUGCAUCUUGUUGGAGUGAAAACGUAGCUGAGCCAUUUUGCCUUCGUGUGAGUUAAAUUGCCCGCGCCCGGGCCUGUUAUCUGCUCGCAGGCUCCAGCUGUAGCCGUCUCACAAUCCAAAUGUCGGUAAGAAGGGGAUCUUCUCUAGCGCCGCCAGAAUUGCGUGAUGACGGGUACUGCUGUGAUGCGAGCCGUUGUGCAGCAGCGCGCCGAGGCAGCUGCAGCGAAGUGUAUAGAUCUGUAAGAAUCCAGGCGGGACCCUUUUGCCCUCAUUCGCAAGCAAGACGCAGCUGUAAAAAAUUAACUUGUUCGGCCGCCCGUGCAUGCUGCAUUCUAACGGACGUUUCGGGACUUGAGCUUUGAUGUUAUGCUAAGUUUACCGUACCCCCGCCGCCGCCGGCUGCGCUCCCAGGGAACAUCCAUGGCCACACCGUUGGUGGCAGGCCACCUGGCUCUCGUGCGCCAGUACUUCAGGUGCGCUCGAUAAUGAGUGCGGCUAAUCGACCCUGCUUUCCUUGCCCCUCAAUAGUGCUGUCAAUACACCUGGAGCUGCUCCUGAGGGUGCUUCCACUGCUACUGGUAUCAAUCACUGCCGCUUGCUGAAACUGCCAAGACCCAAGAGUGCUUGUCAGUAGGGCGGCUUCGUAAGAUAUUCCUAUGAUAUAUUCGUACGAUGUGACAUGUCCAUCCCGCGCUCAUCUCUUGGACCAGGAUGGGCACAUUCAGAGGACCCGAACCAGCCGUGCGCUGAAAGUCAAUAGGCCUCGUAUGGGGUUUGUAUUGUUUGGAAUCAUCUAUUCCUAAAUUGGAUGUAUGUGCGUCGUUUUUCCAUGCGAUGGCAGGGAUGGGUUCUACCCCGCUGGAGCUGCAACCGACGUGCCGACAGUCCCGUUCGAUCCGUCUGGCAUGCUGCUCAAAGCCGCCGCUAUCACCAGCGCAAAGUCUCUGGCGGUAAGCAGGUCUUGCGGCUAUAGCUGUAGUAGCUGCAACCGGGUAUCAUCCUACACAGAAAUCAGGCCAAGCGCUGGCUUUGCUAUCCAUCCAUCUCGACUGAUUACUUGGCUGACCGAUUGACCGACCGGGCGACCGAUUGGCAGCAAAGGCUUUGCACUUUUUGGACUGCAGUCCUUGCUUCUAUGUGACGGGAAAGUGGAAAAGAAUCCUAAAACAUCAGGACCUAAUUGGAUUGAUCCCUCGGCGGCUGAUUCACUUUGUCGUGUCGCUUUCCGUGGAUGAAGUGCACAUCCUUCGCCCCGAACCUAUCUCGGACGCAGGAAGUGACCCUAAUGACUAACCUGUGUCAUACUAGGCCUAAUUAAUUGAUCACAAGUAAGGGUUUGCCAGCUUAGCUUUUGUUGUCUGGUCCGACAAAAAAAUGGCGUUUACCUGUUUCCUGACCUGAGUGACCCAUUUCCCAGAAAAUUUGCACAACCAUCCUUGCUGACUGCUGAAUGAGUGGAAGUCUCCCUGUUUUGUUGAUGUCAAUUGCAGGGCGGCCUUGCGACGAACGUGGGGCGCGUCAUGGGUCAGGCGCCGGACGGCCUGCAGGGCUGGGGCCGUCUUGACCUGAGCAGCGCCCUACCGCUGGUGGGCUUCACCAAUCCGAACUUCCGCAUUGCAGUCGCUGACUACGGAACAAUCCGGGAUGGCGAGAUGAUCUAUCUGCCGGGAAUCCGCGCGACCGGCACCGGGUGAGUGCGUGUGCUGUGCGGGCAUGCAUGGUUGGUUGGCUAGUUGCUUGCAGUAAUAGUCAGCUUUUUCUAAAGCUGUCAGUAUACCGCCAGAUUGUGUGUAGAAAGCAAGUUAAUAAGCUCUUGAUGCCGGACUGGACUGGAUCUCUGAUGAUGCCAUUGAAGCGAUUGCGUUCUUAGUUCACACUUUUGUGGCUCCAAUCGGCUGCACGAGUGCCCGAUUGUGACUUACCAAUCACGUUCUUGACCCGUAUCCUGUUCCCGCCAGGCCCAUUAUCGCCACGCUGGUUUGGCACGACUUCCCUGGAAGCGGCAUGACGAACCGGGACCUGAUUAAUGACCUAGAUUUUGGCUACCUGCUCAACCCCCAGAGCACCACCACAAACUACAGCCGGACGCGCGCGGGUGAGUUUAGGUCACGGGGGCAUGCUACUGCCUGCUGUGGCAACAGCGUAGUUGGAUGAGCGCCUUCAAGUUGGUGGCGAUCAUCUUCGCUGCGUGAAGUUAUAUAGUUAUUAAGUUAUUAUUAAGUUAGUUAGUUAGUUAUUAAGUCAUAUUACUGCCCUCAUUGCUCAUCAAGCUAGAGGUGAGAAAAGAUGAGCUCUUUGGUUACCCUUGUCUCCAUCCUUUCGUCCUCCUUAAGUUACUCGCGCCUUUCCUUUCCAAUUUUUGUAUCUUUUUUUCUUUUAACGCUGUCCCCAAUUUUCUUUCCUCGUUUAUUUCUCUCAGACAGCGUCAACAACGUGGAGCGCGUGGAGCUCUAUAACCUGCAACCGCGUGACAACGUAACGUUCGUGGUUCACGGUCGCGCCAUCCGCCACUCGCUGCUGACCACACCCGACGCGCAGCGGCCGCAACGCUGGUCCGUCCUGGUGGCAGGCCACUUCACGGGCACGCUAAGGACACCGCUCAACCCGGCGUUCGCACGUCCCGCACGCGUGCCGGUACGUGCUACUUGCUCCUGGCCCCGUAUUUUAGUUAACGCAUUUGGUGCGUCCUGACAUACUGAGUCGCUUGUUGGUGCCCGCUUGCUGCAUCUUUCUGCAUCUCAGGCCAACAUGCUGAUCCAAAUGCCGAAUGGCACGUGCCUGACCGUCCGGGCCAAUAACUUAGUCUUCGAUCCCGCGGCGACUGCAUGCAACGCGACAACCGCGAUCUUCAACUUCAUUGAAGAACCAGGUUUGUACACGAGUGUUGUCACCAGUAAUGUCUGGAGCCUCUUAGGAGUGUGAGGGGAAUCGCCUUAUGUCGCUCGUGGCUGCCUGCUGAUGCGACCACACUCAUGGUAACCACCCCUGGACUAACCUCGCCUGCGGCUGCCGCUGUUGCUGCUGCUGUUGCUGCUGCUGUUGCUGCUGCUGUUGAUGUUGUGCGCUGCUUUUGCUGCUGCAGACAACACCACGGGAGGGUACCUGUACCGGAUUCGCGAGUUUGGCGGCACCCGAUGUGCGACGAUUUCCAGCAAUGCCAUCGGCUUCUGGCCUCAGCUUACGGAGUGCAGCCCGACAUCCCAAAGCCAGAAGUUUGCGGUGUUUGCUAACCCCAACCUGGUCGACGGGUAAGUGCACGUGCGUGCACGCGUAAAGCUUUAGCUCAUGUCGAGAAGGAAAAGAUUUGUUGAAGUGCCCUUUUGGCCCGGGUGCACCGGAUGGCAGGAGUAGGACCUGGAAUAACAAUGUUGUCGAUAAAGCGCUAUAAGGCUGUGUUGGCGUUGUUCGGAAGUAUAAAGGACCAAUCUGUGCGCUCUUGUAUAUAUGCAGUCCUUCCUUUCUUCCUUUCUUCCUUUCUUCCUUUCUUCCUUUUUCUUCCUUUCUUCCUUUCUUCCUUUCUUACUUUCUUCCUUUCUUCCUUUCUUCCUUUCUUACUUUCCACUACAUGCGGACAACCCCGGGCCCCGCUGCCUUACCCCUUUUGAUUGCCGUUACCGCUAUUGACUGGACGGCAAUGCAAAUAUAAUAUAAUAUAUAGUUAUGUCUGUAUAUAUGUAUGUAUGCUAUGUAUGUAUAUGUAUUUAUAUUUGUAUUUGCCUGAUCUGAUGCAGGCCAUUCUACCAGAUCGUCCCGGCGAUGGCCCCGAGCACUACUAUGGACAAUCGGCGCUGUCUGCGAACCGUUUCAUCCAUCCUCCAGCUGCAAUCCAGUUGCGACGAUGAUGACCCGACGAUGUCGCUCCGUCUUGUCCGCCCAGCGUCUGUACCACCACCGCCACCACCGUCACCGUCACCGCCAGUUCCCACACCGGCUGUUCAGGACCCCCCACAGCUGUGGUACCCCUUCCCGCUGACUUUCCGCGUGGACUUCUACCCCGUCACAAGUAAGUCUGUCUCCGGACAUCGUGGCACCUUUUAAUGUUUUCUUAUGUAUCUAUGCAGUUUUUGUUGUGCACCACUCUGCUUGCGUUCGACAAAUCGCGGUGCCUUAAUUGCGGUGCUUUAAGGCACUUAACUGCCUCUCAUACUGCGCUUAGAUCUUUGUAGCGUCCAGCAGUUUCGCGUGCUGUAUUUCAAUUAUUUAUUUAUUUAUUUAUUCAUUCAUUCGUUCGCACAUUGUACAUCCUUUCGUUGCGACACAAGCAAUACUUGUAAUAAAAAUGCUGCUCUGUUCGCUUGCAGAUGUCGCAAGCGCCAACACCUACGACUACGACUACACCGACGACACCUUGCGGAGCACCGUAUCUAACUUUGACCUCCAAGUGUCGUGGAACUGGAACGGUCAGACCUUCUCUGCCGGCAUAGGAAACUUCCUUGGUUACGAAACCGCAAUCUCUUCGUCAGGUGCUGUACACGGCGGUGACAACAUCAUCUACGGCACCAUGUACGAAGAAAUUCACUGGCAGCUCGGAUACACGCCCCCGCCCACCACCUACUACGUUUGCGUCGCGUGGCAAGGCCCCACCGCGUCUUCGAACAUGAAUGUUAUAUUGACGGUGUUCAAGAACGACCCUGUUGCGAGCAUUUCGACGACUUUUAACACAGACUUCGACAACUUCGCCGACGGUGAUUGCACACCGUCGUCUGUGGGCUACAUCGGCAGCUACGACCUCAAUUCGCCGCCGUCUCUGCCGCCACCGUCACCGUCACCGCCGCCGGCACCGGUGAACAACAUCUACCCGCUGAUGUUCAAGGCAGAUUGGCUAGUGCUUUCCGGUGUAACAGGUGGGUUAGAACCAGUGUACUGCUGGUGUACUGCUGCCAACUUGCGUCUGUCUUGUCUGUGGUCUGCUGUUGUCAGAGGAGUUACUUCAUUUGACGCAUAGUUACGGAUCUUAUUGCCGGCGAGCAGCUGUUUGCUAUGCGUCAUUCCCAGGAGAAAUAUAUACAUCUCAGCGUCUUGCUCUCCGGGUUUCCUUACCUUCUCCUUAAUGGAAACGGAAACAAGCCGGCUUGUACGUAUCAAUUUAAAUAUGUAGCUGAAGAACCAGCCCUGAACUGAUUGUAAAGCCGAGGGAGCUUUCCUUACUUAGCUAAAUUUAUUGUUUAUAAGGAUUUAAGAACUGCAAAACAUGCAGCUGCUUCGAGUUAAUGGUCCUCUCGUUUUCCCUCUUUUUUUUAGGUCGCACCAACGCGCUUGUGGACAUAGAUAUUAUCGUGGCUUGGACGGACAAAGGCAUCUUGUACGAGCUAAGCUUCGACUUUCCUGACAGCACCAGCGGCAGCGGCAAGUACGGCGGCAACAACUUUAUCACCAACGUGAAUUCCGAGAACGCGUAUCUUACGGCAACUCCACCGCAGACUAGGUACGACGUCUGUCUACGAUGGUACGACGACAAGAAGCCCUUGGUGCGCGGGACGGUUGUGGUAAUGCGGUUCAACAGAACCGUUGCGACGUUUGUACGGAACUGGGAUACGACAUUACCAAGGAACGACAUUUGUAAUAGUGGAGCUGCGGGCUACAUGGGCAGCUACACCCUAGGCCAGGAGCUCCUACCCUCGCCGCCGCCACCCUCUCCAAGACCACCACCACCAGCCUCAUCACCACCACCACCACCGCAAGCCUUAUCACCACCACCACCAUCGCCGCCACCACCAUCGCCGCCACCACCUUCGCCACCACCACCUUCGCCACCACCUUCGCCACCACCACCAUCGCCGCCACCACCAUCGCCGCCACCACCUUCGCCACCACCAUCGCCACCACCACCUUCGCCACCACCAUCGCCGCCCCCACCUUCGCAACCACCAUCGCCACCACCACCAUCGCCACCACCAUCGCCACCACCACCAUCGCCCCCACCAUCGCCGCCCCCACCUUCGCCCCCACCAUCGCCACCACCACCUUCGCCACCACCAUCGCCGCCCCCGCCAUCAUCGUCACCGCCGCCGCCGCCGCCAUCGCCGUCACCACCGCCGCCCCCAUCCCCGCUACCGCCGCCACCGCAGCCGCCGUCACCGCGUCCACCGCCAUCACCGCCACUACCACGACCACCUCCGCCACCGCCCCGGCCGCCACCGCCCCGGCCUUCGCCGCCACCAUCCCCGCCACCAUCGCCUCCGCCACCACCGCCCUUGCUGCCGCCGCCCCCACCGCCGUCACCCCCACCCCCGUCACCCCCACCUCCACGCCCGCCUCCGCCAUCACCGCCGCUGCCCCCGCCACCACCUCCCCCAAGGCCGCCUCCGCCACCCCCACCGGCUGUGUGCCCGGACCCAUUGCCGUCUCCAAGCAGCUUAUUCGCACUUUAUUUCCGUACAAUGUGGUCCGACAGCCAAGGUACGGCAUUGCUAGUUCCGUAGUUGGGACAAAGUCCCCAAUUCGAGGUGGUUCAGCAUCUCGUCCUACGUCCCGAAAUGUGCGGAAUCGAUUGCGUCGUCCGGCUCAUGAUAUGAUGUUUGUGAAAACGACAAGGGGAUUACACAUGUUACAAGGGGGUUACAAGGGGUUACAUAUUCCGCAUAAGUGCGGGUGGGCCGUCCGUAAAAGCCUGGAGGCCCCCCUUAGGACCAAGGUGGCAAUUUUUGAAAGAUUUUUACAGGAAGUCAUGUGCACCUGCCAACCUUACAGCUUCAUGGUUUGCUAGUCAGUUUCCAACGCUGACUUGCCUUCUGUUUUCCCUCUGUGCACGCUUGCAUACCCAAAGGCGCUAGAGCGGGUGUAUCGUACGACUGGGAUAUGGUCGUGGCUUGGACCGCCAACCAGCAGACGUACGAGGUUAGCACGUACGACAGGAACGUUGGCGGUGGCGUACACGGAGGCGAUAACAUGAUGCUUGCGGGCAAGCCGAACGGAGAGGUACGUGAUUACCGAGAAGGAUUCGGGUACGUGAGUAAAAGACGGUCUGCUGGUUCACGUGGCAGCAUGUGCCGUACACGUAACUAAUGUACCCGACGCUCGUCUGCGCCACUCUUUAAGGCCCCUCAUGGCUGCAGGUAUACUCGUGUAUGAGCCUCUCGUAAUGACACCUUUGAAGGGUGGUAACGCAACUCUAGAACAAAUACACAUACACAUACACAUACACAGAGGCAGACGCGCACUGUACGAAGGCAUGUACGAAGGCAUGUCCUUUAGGAUCAUUUUCUUCUUAGAAUCUGCUAGCAUUUUUAGUUUUUUAGUUUUCCAAGGACGGGGAGAAGCAUGUGCAAAUUCGACGUUCUCCAAGUCUGAAUCGCUGAAUCAUUAUGCGUUGUGUGGUCCUUGUUGUCCUGGCCUGCGUGAGAUCAAAAUUCCAAUUCGAGGUUUUUAAGCAAUUCAAACCCUUUCCCGUGCCUAACGCACAAUUUUCCUACCGAAUGAAUGUCUUGGUUGAUUGCUAUACUCUUUGGUGUUUUGGUUGAUGUCAAUCUUUUGUUUCCCACGCAGGUCGUGUUCUGGCCCACGGGCCUCACGAAUGUCUUCCCCCAGCCCGCUGACUACCACGUCUGCGUGCGGUGGUAUCAAUCGGGGGCUCUCAACGUAACUCUCACGGUUUCCUUGGGCCCUACGCUCGUUAAAACCGUACCAGCUUACUGGACGAGCAACACCGUCUUCAGCAAGCAAUGCAACCCGAGCGCCUCAGGCUACGUUGGUACUUACACCUACACGGGCAACAGCAGCAGCAGCAGCAGCAGCAGUGGCACCGGUCCGGCCCGCACGCUCCUCGCAGCCACCACCACCAUUACCACCAAUGGCAUUGAUGGCGCGUCGGCGCAGUUCAAUGACCUGCACGAACUGUACGAGCGCGUCACGGCCGACGAACGAGUCGAACCUUCGACCAUGCGCAACGGCGGCGCCCAGUUCGAUGCGUCACGCAAUCCAGCCGCCGCCGUCGAGGGUGAGGCAGCCAGCGGCGGCGCCGACACUGGCGUUACCGUCGCCGCCAACGGCAGUACGGCACCGCGGGCCGCCGCCGGACUCCAAGGCAUCAACAUCCCGAUCCUUGUCGUCGCCGCCGUCGGUGUCGUCAUACUUGGAGCGGCCAUGGGAUCUUUCGUAACGAUUGUCUUGUUUGGAUGGACCCAAGCGCGGCGGUCGCGAGGUUACAGCGCGUUGUCGACGUAAGAGACGAGGCUGAUCAAAAACACGUGAGAAUGGCCGGCCGGCCGGCCGGCAGCAAAUCGGGUAGGCAGGUAAAAGACAGACAGGGAGAGGAGAUGCCACAGAGGCUAUAUGCGCCGCUGCACUGCAUUGCUAUGCUGUAUGUACUCUCUACAACUCGAAAUUGUUUGUACAUACGCAUACACGGGAUGACGACGCCGACCGAUAGACUGCAAAGCGGCGCGCUCCCUUCUGGUAUGAGUUAGCGUUUCUGCCUGCACACAUGGAGCAUCGCCACUUAUCUAUACAUGAGUGUAUAUGCAUGUAUGCGAUCGUGCCUUGCGUAUUGUGUGUGGUGGUGCAUAAUUGCGGUGUUUAGUGCUUGUGGGAUGUCGACACUUGUGCGGGUACGCACGUUCUUCGUGCGCAGGUGAUGCUUUGGUGGGGUGGGUACCUGGGUCAGCCUUACAAUCCAAAAACUCAUGAGUUGGGUUAAAGUUCACAGACAUGUCGCGCGCUGGAGCGACAUUGGCGCAUCCCCGCCGUGUUGAGAUCAUAGUCCUCGGUUGGCUAAACUUUCCAAUUAUUCGCGACUCCGUACACGUGCGCGUCCCUACACGUACAUCUCCGUACGUGUACGGGAUAAUAUCGAUUCCAGCAGCCCUACACCUGAAUGCAGGACAGUUACGCGCUUAAUGAGUGCUGAAUAGAUAGGUCGAUCGUCGUUGGACCAUUCUUACUUCUUAUUAGUUGCUGUUCCUGGAUUCGAUUCCUGCACGCAAUCGCGAAUCAUCCUUUGCCAGUUCGCAUGAUAGAGGACGACGGGGGAGAUACUGUGUACACGGGGGCCGGGAGUUGGGUUUAAGGCCAGUGUUGUCAGUCGUAUAUGUACGAGGAUGCGUGUGUUUGCAUCCGGCAGGGGUGGGAUGGGAUGGGCGUGCGCGCGUGCUUUGGUCUUGCAUUAGAUAAUAACACAUAUGCAGGUUCGGGUCCAAAAAAGCAGGCAGGCAGGGAGUUAGGUCUUAUUAUGAGCUAGAGACCAAGCAGACGUACCAAGCUGCUGAGAUGACGGAGACCACAUUGAUUCUGACCUUAUCAGUCACCAAUUAAUCGCUGCUGUGUAUAUGAUAUUAGAUGACUAUCUCCCAUGCUGGCGUACGUAGUCUUUGGAAGCCUGCUGGUGUCUUUAGAGCUCAAUCCUCAGACGGCAUUUCUGCGUGAAGAUCUAGCGGGCCUGAUUAGAGGUUUUGGCAUCCCGGGUAGCAGCUGGGUUUUGCGCUACCCCCGUGCGUGUGGGCAUCAUUGCGCAUAUGUGCGGCACGUAAAUGGCGGAGAUGCAUGAGAGCCAGCGCCUGGGUACUAGCAUGUCCUGACCUUUCGCUGACGGACCUGUUAACUGUCAGCAUGCGAUGGAUGGGCAAAUCCCAGAUUUGGAAUGCUGUGUGUGCUGCUCGUGCUUAGAGUGCUAUCGAGCGAUGGAUGACGUGGACGAAUAGUCACAACACAACGCUUCUGGCUAGCUCGUAAAAGCUGUCGCGAUUGCUGAAAGGAAGAGGUUAGCGGAAAAGGGGACUAAGCAUCGAACCUUUCUGUAAUCUUACAGCUCCCAGGAGCUUACCGGUGCACAAAGCAUUCGUGAUAAGUGCUGAGCAGCUCGGCAACAGGCAACACAAAUUAUUUGCCGGGGAUGAUGUGAUAUAGGCUAGUACAACGAACCCCCGUAGAGAGCCUUAGCCAUCGGAGCUUUGCCUCAUGCAGAGCUUCAAAGAAAGCAAACGCUGGAUUGUAUGCGUUGUAAAAGAAGCCCUAACUAAGAUUUACUUCGGGAAGGAGAAGUUGGAGGCAGGUAGGAGGGCGAAGAGUUGCGACAACUUCAUUCGCGUGAAUGGAUCUUCGCUCGCUCUAUCACACUUUGCAGAGAAGUUGCAGAGCCUCAUCUUGCGCUCUUUUCAAACAGGCAUAAUAGUUUAAAUGCUUGUUGGUAGAUAGCCAAUAAUAAGUUUUGCAUCUUUAACAGCACCUGUGCUAGGCUGAAGCUUGAUUGGCUGGCUGGCUGACGCACUCCGUAUUUGGCUUGCUUAACAGAUGACCCGUCAAAUCUCACCAUGCACGAGCUAAGCCAUGAGCUACAUAUACAGCUAUACACAAUCUAUCCGGUGCUGCAUAACAGCUACAGUCCGCACCGGGGAGCUUAACCGACUGUUGCAGCAGUCGAACGAGCCUAGUUAGGCUAUGUCCGUGACAGGACACAGGUACAGCACUGCAAGUUGCCGCAUCCAGGGUCGUUUAUUACGGGGGGUAGGCCUCACCUUUUUAAUUCCGAUGUCCGCCCUGCGUCAUGGCCAUAGCGUCUCCCGUCUUGUGGGCCAGAAUGUCUUAGGGUUUUAUGUGGUCGUAGCAUCUCAUGCCAGGCUACUGCUUGCGGUGGCAUCUGGCGUGAGUCGGAGAAACCAUAACAGUAUCGAUUCCAUACACCUGAUAACACUGACCAGAACGUGUCCUCGGAAGCAUCUGCCUUCCGUAUGAACACGUACAUACAACCAAGGCAGGCGGCUGGCAGAGGUUAAGGCCUGACUUCUGCUCCCGGCGCGUCCGAGUUCAAAUCCGGGGUGUUUGAGAGGUGUUGAAAUGGGAGGUGGCCCCCCAUCUUGUGGACGGUGUAGGACGUGAUAAAAUCAACUUGCGAGCUGACCAGGAACUAAGUUGACGCACCGUUGAUCCGCUAGAUUUGGUUGGAUGCUGGUGGUGAGUUGCCAAACUCAAAGGGUACACUCUGAAGUCAGAUGGGGUGAACGGAUUAGGGUGCCCCUCUAGCAGGGGAGAGCAGGGAACUGCCUCGGGAAGGAGGCCACUGGUGAAGCUUAACCACCCUGUAACAACAUCAACCAAGUGCUGACGGCUUGAGACUGCAGCAUUUCAUGAUGGUGAAGCACUUCAAACGAUAAAAGGAAAGAGAUGGAUAUUCGGAGCGCAAUAAAUUGCACAGGCAGCACAUAUGCCAUGCCCCAGUCACGCCUUUCCACCACACAGCGCCGCGCAUUUAUACGGGCUCUUGAUAUCUCAAUUGCAUUCAACAGGCAGGCGGCUGGCAGAGGUUAAGGCCUGACUUCUGCUCCCGGAGUGUCCGGGUUCAAAUCCGCUUGCCGAUCUCUCGGGUGUUUGAGAGGUGGUGAUAUGGGAGGUCGCCCCCCAUCCUAUGGACGGUAUGUGACGAGAUAAGAUCAACUUGCGAGCUGACCAGGAAGUAAGUUGAUGCGCCGUUGAUCCGCCAGAUUUGGUUGGAUGCUGGUGGUGAGUUGCCAAACUCAAUGAGUACACUCUGAAGUCGGAUGGGGUGAAUGGAUUAGGGUGCCCCUCUAGCAGGGGAGGGCAGGGCAUUGCCUCGGGAAGGAGGCCACUGGUGUAGCUUAACCACCCUGUAACAACAUCAACAUCUUCGUGGGAAAUCCAAGCUAUGUGUGCAGCUUUUAUUAGGAAAGGCUUACCCGUGGCUGGACUAUGGAGCUUGCAUCGGUAUAAUUAUUCAUGCACCCACUUCGGUCUGUUCCCGUAUCGCGGUUCGCAUGGGUCGUGGGUGUGUCUUUGCCGUCACAUUAGCAUGGCUGUGCAUGGUGUACGGUUUUGGGGCGGUAGGAGCUUUCACGGGCGCUGAGUGUCAUUAUGGUUGUCAGGUAGAUUAAUCGUGGUGUGCGUCGCUAAUACACAUAAGCCGCGGUGGACAUGAACGGUGCCCAUUCCCAGCACGGCUCGUCAACCCCCUGGCUGGCUGAAUGCUUUACAUACACUAUCUGCGACCGGCGGUGUGCGCCCACAGCCCCCCAUAGCUCUUAUACGCCAAUGUGGGGAUGUGCGGUUUAUCUUGUUUUGUUUGCCCCGUGACGGCCAAGCUGCUGUAAUAAAGGCCGCCGCGCCUGUUGCAGAUCGUGAUGCACGCUGUCGCAUGUGCUAUGACGUCCUAAAACGCAAAGUUUUGGCUGCGCGCAUAAACCUACAGUGUGUCAAAUGACCUACUACCUACUCCUAGGAAAACGGGCAGCCUCAGCUUCAGUACUACCAGCGACUGCUGCUAAGAUUGCUGAUGGUGGUGGGUUGGUAAGUUGAGAAUCGACCAGUCCUAUCAGAUAGGUAGGCUUAUUUCGCAUGCACCGUUUUGGAGGACUUGAUGGCAACCUGAUUGAGACCUAAUUAAGCAGUGCCCCGUUCUGUUCCAUGGUUCUGGGGCUUCAUGUGCAGCAGGUACGUAGCGCAAGUACGUACUUUUUAUGCUGUUGACUAUACAGCACCGUAGAUGUGAAUGGAUUCAUGCCACCUCGCGCGAUAUAUUACAAAUUCAUGAUACAAUACAAUAUCCACCCUCUUUUAAUCUAGAGGCCCAAGUUGCGAAAGGAUUGAGGGUGAUGGCCAGUAUGCGAGCCAUACUCUACCUACCUGCAUUGAUACUCUUUGGUGCCGCCUCCUUAGCUCAGAAUGCGCCUAAUAUAUUAUCUCUUCGGAGCAAUCCAUUGGUGGAGUUAAGGUGAGUGUUUUUAGCAGCUUUUGUCCAACACAAUACGUAAAGGUAUUGUUUGUGCUAUGUUUAGCAGAGACUUUAGUACCUGGUGGAUAUGAUUAUAUAGACCUGAAGGAAGAACCUUAGCCUGCAAUUGUCUCUUUGCGAAGGCCAGUUUCCCACCCGUUGCUUGCAUUUCGCUGGCAAGUUCCUACAAUCAACAUGCCAUGUUCUCAUACGAGCUUGUCCACUCACAUUACUACAUGCGUUCUAUCCGCGAGAGAGCUCUGAAUUUCGCGUUUCGCACUGAUGCAAACGCCCCGCUUCAGGGCGGUUAAAAAGGAUAAGUGCAUGCAGUUUACUGCUUUGGUUCUCAACGGGCGCUUUAUCUUAAUGUAAUUUUUUCAUUUUCAUUGCUUCAUUAUGCGCUGGUCGGUUGUCUGGCUUUUACGCAGCCCUUGCGGAUGGCUCGUUGCUUCGGUUGCUGAACUGCAUAUCCGCCUUUACCCUGCCGCGAGUCGCAUUUCGUAUGCCAUUGACGUUCCUGUACACUGCGAACUACUAUUGGGCGGCGAGAGCGGCAAGAGGGCCUCGCCCUAGCGGUACUUGCCCGCCGCGGCGGAUAGAGGGUAGGCGGGAUGCUUGCAGACUUUAAGAAGUCGAAACACGAGUCGGAGACCAAGCAGGGACUUAAUUCUUUAUGCACCAAGCUUUCAGCAGCUCCGAAACCCUACCGGACCCCACCCGUUUCCUCUUCCAUGCAUGGGCUCGCUCAUCAAGAUGCCCAGCUCCUUACGCGCAUCCAAUCGUAAACCACACGAUCACACCAGACCCCGUGUGCAGUUUCCUCGUUGGCCUUUAAGAUAUUUCCCAGCCAGCUUUGUAAGAAUUGUUGGGGCAAUGCACAGUGCGUUCCUCCUGCGCGUUGCGUGAGACUCACUUGGAUACGGGUACCGGGGAUGUCCAGGGAUGGAUAUACCCGCUUACUCCUCUUCCUUGUUCUAGAGCUUAAAAUAUAUUGGAAUGAGUACGUUGCCUCCGUAGGGCACACUUCAUGUAUGGUACGGUUGCUUCGAUGAAACAUUUGCACCAAGCUCUCGAAUUAAGCGCAAUGUCAGGGAACGAACAAGAAAAGGAAGUGGUUUCUAGCAGGCGGCUUGUGGUUGCUUGCAUGUGCCGCACACCUGCGGUAACAUGGGUGGAGCUGCUUGGGCGCCUGUUGCGAUCCUUCUUUGCAUUGCCCCGAGUUGUGAUUGAACGAUUGACGCUGAAAUGAGAAUGGCCUGAUUACCCGUAGUGUUGUGUGGUGUGUUUCAGGAGGUCAUGUUUUCCCCAUUACCAUACCAUAAAUGAACUCAUGUUCGUGGCUAAGGCAGACUCAGGUUACGAUGGCCCUCGACCGGAUCACUGGUGCUGAUCGCUUAACCCGAACACAGGAUUGUUCCAAGCGAUAUGAAGUGCCACAUGCUAGCCAGCCGCCGGCGGUGUACAACCAUCCUAUGUCUUUACGAGGGCGUUAAAAUGCUGUCCUACGCCCGCUUGACUGUAGUUUUGGUUAAGAUUACAGAGUUAUUACGCGUCAUGUUUGCCAUCCUUGCAAUCGGUCGACUUCAUGCUGCUGCCCACUUGCCUUGCCGCAGCACGGCUGAUAAGAUUAUGGACAGCACAGUCGUCAGUGCAUUUAAUCCCUACGACGACGAUCAGGGCGGUCUCUACCUUCCCUUAUUACCCGUUGACCCCAGCGAUAUGUAUGCUAUGGUGACACCGGGGGGCACCGACCCCCUAGGUCGCCGGUUGCAAGUGGUGCGAUUCAGUAAAGGUGUGUGAUUGGUAAGGGUAUGUGGGCUUGGUGAGUUGUGUGUGGGGGUAAUAAACAAUGCCGACAGGCCCAAUACUAAAUCAUGUGCGCGACAGUUCUGUAAGCUCUAGCAUGUAUAGCCCCAGGUUCUUUUACCCCCCAAAACCCUGUCACACGUAUCAUCGUUGCUCUUACACCUCUCACAUGCACACUUUCUCGUACAUCCUACAUCCAUCACCUCACCAGUGGACACCUGCAUCAGACAAUGAACACCAACCACCACACCAUGAAAGAAACUAGCGCAAUGUGGUUGUGUUAUAUAUUCCGGGUACCUGGGUAUAUCCUGGGCGCUUGCUGGUUAUAUCCAAAAAGUCUUGGUGUUUCUUUUGGCGGCGUUAGUGUGGUGAUCCAUAAACGUAGAUGAGCGUUGCUUGGUAACCAGGCUAGCUCCCCCCCUCCCUAUGGUUAAACUUCUCCGGUACACGGGAUAGAUAUCCGCGUCCCAACAGGGUUUGCAUGUUUGGCCGCAGUUAUGUAAGCCUCGGCUCCUAGCACGCUGUUAGUGCCUCGUUUUACGGUAUGCAUCCAAUGCAUACCGUAAUCACGGUAUGCAUCCAAUGCAUACCGUAAUCACGCUCCUUUGGGGCUCAAUGCGACGCUGGGGGGGGGUGUUUUUGAAGCAGCAAAGGGGUAUCACGAGCAGCGAGGACGGCACUUGGGAGAACUCCUGUCAAAUAAGGAGUUCUGCCAUCCUCGCUGCCAUCCUCGCGCCACUUGGGAGAAAAGUCCUUAUUUGACAGUAGUUCUCCCAAGUGCCGUCCUCGCUGCUCGUGACACGCCUUUGCUGCUUUACAAACACCCCCUCGCGCGUUUAAAAACUGCCCGACUCACUUAUGAUGGUGUGUUCUUCAUGAUGUUGAUCAUCCGCAGGGGAUAUACGGCAAAUUCGUAAAGCACUAAUAAGCUUGGACGUGAAAAUCCUUGAGGUGCUGGACUCAAGGACGCUCCUUGUGUUUGGCAGGCUGGAUGCGGUCAAGGGCGUCGUGACCGCUUACAACGGGCUGAUGGUGGGUGCAACCAUCAAGGCGCAAGGCCCUAGCCUGCCAUCAUAAGUAUUCACCCCAGAGCUGCGGCCAACCUGGUGGUGAAACGUUUUAGGAAGGCAAGAGCACGUCGCGCGUCAGCAAGAAUGUGCACGACUAUUGAUUGCAUUGUGUGUGGUGCAAAGAGGAUAAGGCAGAGAUGUGCAUGAUGUUCGGAAGCUUCGUACAGCCUGGAAACAUCGUAUAGGCGCGGUUCUUAGCUAAGACGGUCAUGAGUUGAUCAUAUGCAUGAGCAUCAUCCGCUGAUAGAUGCCAACCGCCCGCAACGUAACUCGUUUUAAAAUAAAAAAAACUCAAAGGGUUUCGGCAGUCAGUACGAGGCGGACGGCGAUGGGGUGCUUCUUUUUUUCCAGGGCAUGUGUGGAUAGGUGCCGAAUGUGUGGGUGGAUGGAUGUCGCUAAUGCAAGUAGUCUUGGAUGCGGGCCCUCGCAGGCAAAAUACGAACCUGGAUUCAAGAUCACGCCAGAGGCAUCCGUGCUUGCGGAAGAGGCCAGUGCGCUGUCUUCACCAACAAGGAGGCGCCGCAACCAAAGGCGGUCACUGCAGGCGGAUUCAGGCGGCUCUCCACCUCACCCGGAUCGGCGUUCAGGCCGCUCUGAGAGGGCUUACGUCAGCAGCGCUUUUGACGCCGUUCAGAUUUGGGACACGCAUUCCUACGACAGGCCACAGUCGUCCUUCGGAGAACUGCAAAACGGCGGCGGCGAGGCAAGGAGGCGACGUCGGAGCGUUCAGGAACGCCGUAACGACAGUCGUACUGCUGGUCGCGGUAAUGGCAGCAGCAGCAGCGGCGGCGGCUCCUCCAACACGCGUUGGGUCAACCUGUACGGCAUUUCCGUACAGAUCGUUCAGGAGCUGUAUCCCGAUGUGCUGCGAACCAUUAAGCAAGAUUGGCCUGGUGCGCUUGCCUCGUACUUGGGUCUCGGCGAUGAGCACCCCUGCAUGCCUAUCUUCGUGGGCGAGGCGCUGUACUCGACGACGAGUCCGGAGCUGCAAAUCUAUGUGUGCAAGGAGGUGGGGACUGUGAUAUACGUGAGGUGCUGUGACGGGGCAGAGGGGCUAGAGGGAAGAUUGUGUGAACAAUGCGGAGGAGUGCCUUCAGCACUUAUUUCCCGAGGUCUGCUGAUCGAUUCCGCAAUUUUUUGUGUGCAAGCAGGUGCGGUCUCACAUCGCGCUACAGCGGCGCACGGUCUGCGUUUGACGCGACAGUGUCUUUGGUCAAAAAAUGUAUAGCCCGGUACACCGCCUGGCACACCGCAUUUGGCACACGCUUGUCUCUACCCAGACGGCCAUAAUAGUUGAUUAGUGUCCUUGUUUUCCUUGUGUCCAAUGCUUGGAUGUUAGGUCUUUUGCGUCGUAUUGCGUCUGUCUAGGCUCUUGCGCCUCUAUCUGCCAGCUCGUGUAUGGGCACACUCCUCGUCUCUAUCUACCGGGGUAGCGCAAGCCGAGGUGUUACACACAUACACACAUACAUACAUAUACACACACAAAUACGUACAUAUGCACAGACAGACAAACACAUACAUACACACACAGCACGCCGCUCUUGCAUAUAAAUGCAUCCCAUGGAAAACGUCGCUAAGAGUUCCCGAGUUCACAAAGCAAUUAAGGCACUGUAAAAACGCCAAUCGCUGCGCUGCGUGUCGCUUUGUCACUUGGGAGCUUAUUGAGCUUUAGCCCCAGUCAUCACACCCUCUAGGAUACAUGCCCUCGAGGGAAACGGUGCGGGACGCUAGAGGACGCGCUUGGCUUUGGUAGCCAGCUACCGCUGAGGUCAGGGCGUCCAUGAUAAAUCCCAGCGUGCGUGUGGCCACCCCGCAGCGAGAGAUUCUAGAAGGAUCUGACAUCGUAGCACUGUCCGCUUGGUGACGUAUUGGUGUGUCGUGACUUAACUAGUGAUGGUCUCUAGGAGUAUGUUAGCGUUAGUGAUAGCGUCUAACCUACCCUACUAUCUAACCUACUAUCUACCCUACUAUCUACCCUACUAUUUAUAUCUAGCCCGCACCAGCAUUUAUGUACUCGUCCCUGCUUGUACGACAGGAUUACGGAAUGGCCGUGGAGUGGUUGUCGUACAUGCAUAUUACGAAGUUGAUUGAACCGGUGCUGAACGCGGAACCUGUCAAUGCCAUCGCGGGUUGGAUUUUGCAAACAGGUACGACGCCGUUCACAGUACUGCAUCCAACAUGCAUUUAUGGCAGGUCGGCAGAAUGACUGCAUUUAGCUGCUCUAGGGCCACGUGGGAGCCUGUGUACGGCACUAUGGAUGGACAGGUUCGUGUUUUGUCGUAAACGCCACGCGUGUUCCCACAUACCCGUGCAUGUGCAUGUAUACAUGUGUGUGUGUGUUCCACCUACUGGAGUUGCGUUAACCGCGUAAGGUGUAAUGAGCCCAUACGAGCCAGAGGCCCAAGGGCAAGCCUAGGGCUGACCACACACGCAUACCCCGUUUGGUGCGUUCGGUGGCUGCUCAAGCACUUCCUGUUUAGUGCACGGCCUCCCACCACUCUCGUCCUUUGCUUUACUUUUACGACUUUCUGCUGCCAACCACUGCCUCUUUUCCCGCCGGGGGAUUAAAAGAAACGUUCCUGCCCUGCGAUUUCCAUCCAACCGCACUCUCAUGCUCGAAAACACCGCUUGAAUGAGCCGCGAAUCCCUCCCGCACCAUCUGCUGCCUGUUUAGGCAACCUGACGCAGCAGCAGUUCACAAACCCAACUGGAGGCUUGAAGCCCUAUUGGGGAGCCAACCUUUGGGGACAGGGCACGAUCGUCGGGGUAAGCGUGCAUGCGUAAGGGAGCGCGCGCAUGUUCCCUUUUUUGCGGUCUCGGUGAAGGCCGGCACACACCGACUGCUCCAGCGGCUGAUGACACCUCCCGGGGACAACACUUGUGUUUUUAUGCAACACGAACCAAAGGGGAACACGUGCUCUUUCACGCGUUUGCUACACUUGACAUGGGUUGGCAGCUGCAGAGCAGGUAGGCUAUAACUCCUCCUUUCAUACGCACCAACGUAUCUAAAACAGGUGACGGACCAGGGCCUGGACAUGUCCCAAUGCUAUUUCAUUGAUGACAAGUACCGCCCAGGCAGCCUUCGCUCCAUGUUCGUGGGCAAUCCGCCUCGCCUGUACCUGCCGAACCACCGAAAGGUCGUCCAGUACGUCACCCCCGAAACAACUGGUGCGUGAGUAUGUUUGUGCGUGCUUGCAUGUAGUAUAUGCGUAGCCAGCAUCAGUAAUAGCCGAGUACGACUUCUACGGUUGCUGAACUACGAUGAUGGAAUCGGUAAGUGCAGCGCCAAGUAGGGGCGUUUACCCAAAACAACGUUGUUCAUCAUUAGCUCGCCAAUCUCAGCGAUGCGAUCCAGCUACUGCUGGUAGUUUUGCUGCUAGAAACACAAGACACUGCAAGACAACCGGCCGCUGCUGAUGCUAGCGUGCUUAAGCUAAACACUACUCGCUCCGCUUGGUGGCUAAUGCAAGCGGGGGAGUGGAAAACACACACGCAUACACGUACAUUUGCAUUCCCCACUUCCCCACCACAGGCACUGGCUGGUUCGGUGCUAGCGACCAGAGCCACGGCACCCACGUGGCGGGUUCCAUUGCCGGCGCCAUACUCAACAGCACAGGAGGCAUCAUGCUAGAUGCCGGUACUGGCGUCGCGCCGAUGGCGCGCAUCAGCUUCUUCGGCACGGCCUCACCACGGUUAUCUGCUCCUUUGAAAAUACCUUCUCCAGUGGACGACAAGAUACUCUCGGUCAGUGGUUAGGGGCUAGGUCUGGAAGGUGCUAGGCAGAGGGUGGGUGUAAGGCAGGGUGGUGACCGCAUCCAUGACCCACGUCAUCUGGGAACCCUAUCGUACAGUGGUGUCGUACCGUCGUACGUACCACGUGAAGAAGGCGAAGUUGCUUUUUAGAGAUAUUGAUAGCAUUGAGACGCGGAUGGACUUAAACGGGUAGUCUUGCAGGGCUCAUGCUCAUGUUGGCUCUCGACCGGGCGAUCUGACGGGCAGUCCAGUAGUAGUAAAUGUAAAAACUUGUAGUUAUGUAAAAACUUGUUAUCGGUUUCCACAAAAGCGUAGCUUACAGCGAAACUAAGGUCUCCUGCGUUCGACUUGCUAAACGACCAUGUCAGUUGGAUGUCGUACAAUGUACGACGAAGCCGAUUGGCCUGAUACUUAGUGCUAUGUCUUCCGUUGUUGUUCAUCUCGAGAGCUUUCUGUUAGGUCUGACACCGCCGCGUCAUGCUGCUCCAGACUACAGCACCCCCUGGUGCGAGUUUCAAGGUGGCCAUGACUCCACCUCUCCCAUCCCCAGCCCCAUAGCAUAGAAAGGGAUUCUUUCUCUGCUUGCCAGUGCUGGUAGCCUUUUCGUCAAGUCCCCGUCUUAUUAGCGACGCGGGAUGCAAUGCCGGAAACCUUUGCACCAAGCCCUGUCUCUCUAUAUGUCCCUUCCUUUUGCCCCGGCAUCAAUUUCCGCUUUCAUGAACAUACCCGCAUUACAUGCAGUACCAUUACGGAGUUGGCGCUCGCAUCAGUUCGGAAAGCUGGGGCCGCUCCAGCGCACUAGGAGUGGCUUAUACCCUUACAUCGAGGCAGUUCGACGCAUUCGCAUGGCGCAACCCCGACUUUGUGUCAGUCAUUGCCGCUGGCAAUAACGGUAAGGGCCCUCCGCUAUGUCGAAAACACGUACUCACACACACACAUGCAUAUGUAUAGUCACACAAACAAACACUGAAGGUAAAUUAGAAGCAAAGAGGGGUUCGGGGUGGGGAGAGUGGUAGUGUACGAUCAGAGGGAAGAUCUACGAUUGGUAAGCUGUUGCGGGUGAUGAAAAGCAUCCUCUUUUUCUUUUUCAGUGUCCGUUUUGUGUGUGUGUGUGUGUAUUCAUGUGUGUGUAUGUGUGUGUAUAUGUGUGUGUAUGUGUGUGUGUGUAUAUGUGUGUAUAUGAUCCGCUAGAUUUGGUUGGAUGCUGGUGGUGAGUUGCCGAACCCAACGAAUACAUUCUGAAGUCGGAUGGGGUGACGGAUUAGGGUACCCCUCUAGCAGGGGAGAGCAGGGACUGCCCGGGAAAGGGGCCGCUGGCGAAGUUAACCACCCUGUAACAACAACCAUAUGUGUGUGUGUGUGUGUGUUUGCUUUUCGUCGAGUUCCAAGACGGGGUGACCAUGAAUAUAUACAACAAACUUGCUUGGCAACCCUUUGACUCAGUAUCAGCGGGUUUUCAAUGGCAGACCUAUUGAUAUGACAUUGCUUAUGCAUAGUAGAGUGUUUAUUUCUUUUCUCAUUUUUUGGGGGCUUCUGUGUAGCUGGUACACAGUACGGCACACAUACCAUCCGCCGAUAUUUCUAAUAUUUCUAAUAUUUCUAAUAUUUCUGAUAUUUCUGAUAUUUCUGAUAUUUCUGAUAUUUCGUCGCCCCUGAAUACCACUCUGCAGGUGCCAAUGGAAUGAUGUCCAUCGCUGCGCCCGGCACAUGCAAGGUGAUGCGGAAUGUUGUCUGGCCCGACGUACAUCAGGCAUGCCAUACAUGCCAUACAUCACCUCUGCCGUCGUCGUAGACAUGAGACAUUUUCCUUCCAAACGCAUUUUCAAGUAUGUGCAAGUUCCUUUUUUGUUGCUUACAAUUGUUGCUCCUUGUCUGCACCAUGGUCCGCGCGCUUUGCUUGCGCCAUCUGUUCACAGAACGGCAUUACCGUUGGAGCAACCGUCAACUACCCACAGAAUUCUACCAUCGGUAGCUUCAACUACAUGUUUUUUAUCCGAUACCGCGACGCCGGUGGAACCAGAGUUGACAUGCCGGUACGCAAUGUAGAUCCACUCGACCAGUCUGCAUGAUUGUGUAGGAUGGGGGGUUUUGCUUCACCCGUGGCCACUAUUCUGACAGCCCCUUGUCACGCUAAAACAUCUGGACCGCACGAAUUAUGUGCCACGAGCGAGUUAGCCUCUAUCCGCAGUGAUCCAUCCGCAUUUCUUGUGUCUGUUAGCACGCCAUAUGGCGUGGCACCCUACCACCUAUACCUAUAUUUCUUGCCUAUACUUUGGGGCACCCUCAUCAUCAAUCCUUGCACCCAUGUUUACCGACUUCUUCGAAAGCGUUUCACUUAACCGGGUUCCCCAGCACCAGCACCAGCACCAGCACCAGCAGCACCAGCACCAGCACCAGCACCAGCACCAGCACCAGCACCAGCACCAGCACCAGCACCAGCACCAGCACCAGCACCAGCACCAGCACCAGCACCAGCACCAGCACCAGCACCAGCACCAGCACCAGCACCAGCACCAGCACCAGCACCAGCACCAGCACCAGCAUCAGCAUCAGUGUAUACGUAAUCAGCCGGACCAACAGCGGUGACCACUCCACUCCUGUGGGCUCGCCGAUCAUGAUCAUCACCGGUCAAGACGUAAUCAGCCGGACCAACAGCGGCGACCACUCCACUCCUGUCGGCUCGCCGAUCAUGAUCAUCACCGGUCGAGGGACUCUUACCCCGCACCUUGUCGGGAUCGAUCCUGGAAUCUUUAGGGACACAAUGCCGUGCAUCACCUGUAGCAUCCUUCCCCUUCAGCUCUCAACCAUUUCUGGUUCUCCCUGAUUCGCGUUUCUUCUGGAAUGCUUUGCAGCUGUGGCCUCAAGCCGGAACGGACAUCAGCUUCUGGAAGGCGUUUCUCGCCAACAAGGUUCGUUGUUUGCUGAAUGUAUGCCUGCUGUCCAUUUUUUGGCCUGCAACUACUCGCUGAUGGCAUUGCAACCUGCCACUGCAGCUACUACUGCUGCCACGGCCACGGCCAUGGCUGCUGGUGUCAUUCGUUUGCCAUUUGGAGCUGCGCCUUGUGUUGAGUUUAAAAACUGCUAUUAGGUGCAACACCUAUGGUGUUCACUUCUCACAGUUUUACAAUUUUUACGAUGAUGAAAGUACUUCCCUGUUUUUUGGUUUACCGCCUUGCUGGCUGGUGCACAUGUAUGUACACACAUGUAUGUACACACAUGUACACACAUGUAUGUACACACAUAUAUGCGGUUGGACACGUUACAAUACGUACGUAUGGCUGGUUGUCCCGCCCAUUGCAGGAGGUUCCGGUGCGCCUUCCCAGCCCGGAGAACGCAUGCACGCCGCUGCAAGGCAGCUACGCAGGCAGUGUUGUAAUUGUGGACCUGAAGCAGACCGCCUGCACAAACACCACAAUUGCGUUCAAUAUCGUCAAGGCCGGUGCGGCUGCCAUCCUGUUCGUGCACCCGGACAACGUAUUUGUUGAGGCCUCCAUGUAUUUGAAACCUACUGGGUUCGCAUUGCCAACAAAUUCCCUCAUAUCCAGGGUAAGCAAGGUUCUUCCUUUGCGGUCUCUUGCGCCUCCAAACUCUAUUUGGCUACCUUGAUAUUGGGAUGAUGACGGUGUAGAAGCUAUAUAUGUGGGUGGGUGAUAAUUACUACUGCAUGCAAGUGUUGUAUCCGCGACUAUGUACUGGCUAAUGAUAAUCUGUAUCAUCAGCUCGCGAGUCCUUUCCUGGCAAGUCACAAAUGAGCCUUUCCAGCAGUAUGCGGCGGUGCGGCAUUGGUCACGGUCCGUAAUUGAUAUUAAACUUUAGUAUUUACACGCCCAGCGGCAUGGACGGAUGCGCAUUGUCAUGUAACGCGGAUUGUGCUCACCGUCGCGCUCGCUCGCAGGCCCAAGGUUUAAGGGUAAUUGACGCCUUGAAGAAUAUCUCGAAUUCUAACUUCUCCGCGACAAGCGUCGACUACGUAAGUACAGCGGUAACGAACUUCAGUAUAAAAGGUUCAGACCUGACGUAGGACGAAAGCUGGUUGUACGUGAUGCGUUCCUUUGAGGUUGAUCUUUUCAUUUUAUAGCUUUAUAUUUCGCAUGCCAUGCAUUCUUGUCCUUUUUAUAGCCUUUCCGUUUAUUAAUGCGUGUUUGCCCCUAGCUUUAAUUUCUUUCGAGAAGUAUCGUUAUUAAUACGUUUCGUGCUUGCGUGCUUACGCUUCUUCUGUCCUUGUUUCAUCUACACAUGAAACCGUGCGUGCGUGUGUGCGCGAACCCUCUUCUACUGAACUAAAACUCGACCCAUGUCGCAGCCCAUCAUUAACCUAGGCAUCGACAGCAUCGCGCAAUUCUCCGGAACUGGUCCACUCUAUGACGGACGCAUUAAGCCUGACAUCGUGGCGCCCGGUACUGGGAUCGUCUCGGCGUUUGGCUCAUAUAUGUAUGAGGCUGCGACAGGUAGGCGGAAGGCAGCAGUACUAGAACUUGUAACUUGUAACUUGUAACUACUGCUGCGUGAGUCGGCCUCACCCUGGCCCUACGUAUGUAUGUUGUUACAGGGUGGUUAACUUCGCCAGCGGCCCCCUUUCCCGGGGCAGUCCCUGCUCUCCCCUGCUAGAGGGGCACCCUAAUCCGUCACCCCAUCCGACUUCAGAGUGUAUUCGUUGGGUUCGGCAACUCACCACCAGCAUCCAACCAAAUCUAGCGGAUCAACGGCGCAUCAACUUAGUUCCUGGUCAGCUCGCAAGUUGAUAUUAUCACGUCCUACAUCGUCCAUAUGAUGGGGGGCCACCUCCCAUUUCAUCACUCCUCAAACACCCGAGGAGCUGGCAGGCGGAUUUGAACCCGGGUCGACUGGGUCGACUGGGAGCAGAAGUCAGGCCUUAACUUCUGCCAGCCGCCUGCCAUACGUAUAUAUGCAGAAUCUGCAUUGAAAAAAUGAUCAUAACAUAAACAUUCGCGAACAGCAGGCGUUGCAGUGCAGCUGCGAGCCUCACGGAACGAACGAAUCCCGUAUGUUUCACACGUAAAAAGCUUCGUGACGCCUGAUCAAGCCAUGUAUUCAACCUCAACAAUUUCUGGCCACAAUAUGGAGCUUUUUGACAUGCGUUAUCGAUAUGGAUGAACGACGUAAUAAUAAGGUUGUGAUAGGACUUAUUGUAAUUUAGUAUUUGUUCCAAGUCCGGCUGCCGACCCAAACUAUUAGGGUGCAUUUCCAGUGCGGAUUAAGGAGAAUUAAGGCCAGGGAUUAGGGCACGGAAGUCCUUGGUACGAGCUUACCACAUAGUUUUGUUCCAUAAGGGAACCAAAGGUUGAAAAGGCGAGGUAAGUUUGCCAACAACUUAGCCGUUUGAGCAAGUAUCGAUGGAGGACAGAGGGUUAAUCCCUGGCCUUUAUCCGCACUGGAAAUACGCCCUUAUUCAUGUUUUGUUUGGCCAACUGCAAUGUCCCAAACUUAGGACGGUCCUGUGGGAUUAUGAUACUUGUUCAUACGUAUGCAUGUGGCCUGCUUCUGUGUUCUGCUUGCAGCUUCCACCUGUGACCGCAAGACGUUGAAGAUGUCGGUAAGCAAUCGCUCCCUUGCGUCGUCCGACCCUGCUGGCAGUUUCAGCUCUUGAUUGUCGCGUGUGCAAUCGCUCGUGCAAACCCAUGCAUGCAUUUUGUAUUGGAUGGUGCCAUACAUGGCAUGUGUAUGCACGUACACACGUAUGCAGCACAGUCAACUCGUAAUGUACGGCGGGGCUUGAAUGACUUGGCUUGGCUGCAUGCGUGCGGGGGGUAGGAACUAUAGUUAAUUUGUGGGACGACCCUGUCGCAAGAAUUGGCUUGGGACGACAACUAGAUUGCUCUGGUGGGUGGUUAAUGUUGGGCUGGGGGGCCGGGGCCAAUCCGCUAGAUAGCUAGAUUGCGCUCUGGUGGGGGGCCCUCAUCACCAGCAAUCUAGGUAUCGUUGUCCGUUGUAGUUAGGUUGGGUACUCAAAAGCUUGUGUGACAGACGGAGUGUAGCAGGUGGCCUCUGAAAACGCCUCUCACGAUUCUGACAGUUCACAUCGGCACGUAUUGAAAAACCCUCAUGAAAGCUGCACCCGCCGCCACUUCCCAUACAUUGCGCACGCACGCCCAUGGGCCCCCCGGCUUUUACGGACACACCCGCACUUGCGUGCGGAACUUGUAACUUGUAUUGCACGCACCAGUUCCAAAGUGGCAAGCAACGACACGUUUGGGUGGGCUAUCAACCAGAUGUGGCCAAGCCUUAAUGAUGAAUCGUAUUAACCUGGCCAAUGGUCAGUACUAGUCCAGCACGUGUGACACUUACACCUACACGUCCCCUUCGGCGGAAAGGGAAGCUGACGCUGCUGAUUGUAGUAUCCAGGGUAUCACGGGAUCUGUCAUCCGCCGAUCGGUUCUUUCCUGCAGGAAGACGUGAUGCAACACUGAUGGAUGUUCCCUGUCCUUGCGUGCAUAUUGCACCUCGGCCGCCGGCUUGCCAUGCAGGGUACGUCGUCAUCUACACCUCUGGUGUCAGGCCACCUUGCUCUCGCACGUCAGUACUUUAGGUGGGUAAGGCUGGGUGCGGACGAUCUACCCUACCUUGCGUGGCUAAGUUUAGCCAUGCACGCGCAUCUCAAACUGGUACUACCCAUUGUUGCUCCUGCAUGCUGUUUGAGAUUGCCAAGCAAGAGUGUAUGUCUGUCCUUGGUAUUAAUUAACGUGCGUUCUCGUGCGUUUGCUUGAGGGCCUGAUGAACAGUCUUUGACUGGAGUUGGGAUCAAUGGUCCGUUCGAGUCAACUCCAAUGCCAUUUUAUUUACUGCUGAAUUUUGAGGUAAUUUUGCGAUGAAGUUCGAGAUGGAGUAUAAUUUUAGUAUGGGUAGCAAUCUGAAUGCAUGUUUUCAUGUUUGCCGUUUUUAUUAUGUCGUGUCUAUGACGACGACAGGGAUGGGUUCUACCCGUCUGGGAGCGCCUCAGACCCCUUGUCGAUUCCAUUCGAGCCGUCGGGCAUGCUUCUCAAAGCGGUCGCCAUCACUGGCGCAAAAUCUCUGGCGGUAAGCAGGCUUGCAAUGGCUCGUGCGCCGGUCUGGCACGAGGCGGACUACUGUAUAGCCAUGUGCUAGCUAUUAGCAAUGAAUAUCCACUGUCAGGACGGCCAGUGAAUAGCUAUUGGUGGCGAUUGGGCCGGAGUCAGGUCGCCAAAUGUAUUAGAUAGAGCUGAUGUAGUAGCUGGCCGCUGAAAAGGCCCCUCGAGAUGCUGGUGAAGCGCUUAGCGCGUAUUUGUAGACGUUAUGUGUGCCAUACUGCAGUAUGGUACACAGCUGUGUACCAGCUACUACAGCGCUGUAAUAGAAAUCAUGAAUUAUCGUCAUUAUCGCCUAGGAAACCCCCCGUUCACCCACGCAGACAAGCUGUAUUGCCGGAUCAGGGUUUCCCCAUUGCAGCGGCUGGCCGCUGAAAUAGCUUAUUAAAUAAGAUGCUGGUGGAGCGCCUAGACGAUUUGUGUGACAGUACUAUCUACAGCUACUGCACCCAUGCAUGGCCCCACCAUAUUCCCCAUUAUUGCCAUUGCACGAUCUAUUACGGAAAAGAGGGACAAAGAGUGACAAUUUGAGUGACCCAUUUCCCAGAAAAUUUGCACAACCAUCAUUGCUGACUGCUGGAUGAUGCUGACUGCUGGAUCCCUGUUUUGUUGAUGUCAAUUGCAGGGCGGCCUUGCGACGAACGUGGGGAGCGUCAUGGGUCAGGCGCCGGACGGCCUGCAGGGCUGGGGCCGUUUUGACCUGAGCAGCGCCCUACCGCUGGUGGGCUUCACCAAUCCGAACUUCCGCAUUGCAGUCGCUGACUACGGAACAAUCCAGGAUGGCGAGAUGAUCUAUCUGCCGGGAAUCCGCGCGACCGGCACCGGGUGAGUGCGUGUGCUAUGCGGGCAUGCAUGGUUGGUUGGCUAGUUGCUUGCGCUAAUAGUCAGCUUUUUCUAAAGCUAUCAGGAUACCUCCAGAUUGUGUGCAGAAAGCCAGCUAAUAAGCUCUUGAUGCCGGACCGGACUGGAUCUAUGAUGAAGCCAUGGAAGCGAUUGCGUGCGUUCGUAACUCUAAAUGCAUGUAAACGAACGCUGUAGGUGUACUUAUCUGUCACAUGCUAUCUGUCCUCAUUUGUUCUUGUUCCAAUUUUUUGCGUUAAGGAAUAAAUAAACUGUACAGGAAGAUGGCAGAAGAAGAAGUUAUGUUCUUAUGUUUGCAUCACCAAAUUCGACUUGACCACUUUGCGAAUAUUUCUGCAGCAAAAAAAAACAAAAUAGAAAAGCCUACCUAGCUAAAUUCCACCAAAUUUCGUUCUCCUGUAGUUAGACCCCUUCAGGACCGGCAAAGUUGUUACGAAGAGCAGGUUGCUUUCUCGCCUGAACCUGAACGAUUUUCGUAAGCAGAUUAGAAAAGCAGCACUAAUAAUUCUUGUUCUUGGUAAGGGUUCCUAUGCCCAUGUUUUUUUCGGUUUCCUUACUGACAUAUAUGCUUCUGGUAACGAGCAACCAUUGCCCCCGGGAGAUCCCAGGAUCGAUACCUGUAUAGGGUCAAAAAUCUAUCCAAUGGUGGAAGGUAUUGCGCCCCUAGUUGAUGGACGGUGGUGACCUGGGAUAAAGUUAACUUGCGAGCCGACCAGGAAUGGAGUUGGGCCGCUGUCGACCCGGCAGAUUCCGUUGGAUGCUGGUGGUGGGUGCGGAACCUGAGCGAUCCACUGAGAAGUUGACUAGGGUGACUGGAUGAGGGUGCCCCGAAAUACCGGGGAAGGCAGGGUUUCUCAGGGUGCCACGGGCGAAGAUAUAACCCCCUGUUUCACACAUCAUAUAUGCUAUAUGCAUAGGUUUUUGACCUUUUUUCAGCAAGUAUCUGCACGUCCUUACUACAUCUCCAAAAAAAUUCAAAAUCGUUCCUAGCUUAAAUUUUCUUAUUAAAAUUUUUUUAUUUUCUAGCGCGAUGUCACAUACGGCUUGUUUUCUUCAGGCCCAUCAUCGCCACGCUGGUUUGGCACGAUUAUCCCGGAAGCGGCAUGACUACACGCGACCUGAUCAACGACCUCGAUUUCGGCUACCUGAUAAACUAUCCGAUAAACUACCCCAUCAGCCCCCAGAACAUGACUAGAACCUACAACCGGACGCGUGCAGGUGAGUUUCGGGCACGUGGGCAAGUCCAGCUCCGUUCUGCAAUGACUAUACAUUUGAAAAUGAUGAGCUACCUCACGCACCAUACCAUAUUCAUUGUAAGGUACCAUAAAUGGCGUUGAAUAUUUCCGCUGCUGGAUGAUACCAUACCUUUCCGCUUUCCUUGUUUCUUUUCCAAAUUCGACACUGCUAUUCAAAAGCUGAUCGCGUUUUCGGCGUACGACCGCGUCCCGUGAUUGCGAAGCGGCUUUCUUAAGGAGGCUGGGUUUGGUUUGCCCUGUAGUAGCUGCCCGCCUGCCUAUCUGCUGCCUGCAUCCUUGCGUACCUGCCUGCCUGUGCGUGCAUCUAUCUCAGCUACAGGAAGAUGAGACCUUGUUUUCUUUCCUCGUUUUUCCCCUCUUGUCAUUACUUCGCAGACAGCGUCAACAACGUGGAGCGCGUGGAGCUCUAUAACCUGCAACCGCGUGACAACGUAACGUUCGUGGUUCACGGUCGCGCCAUCCGUCACUCGUUGCUGACCACACCCGACGCGCAGCGGCCGCAACGCUGGUCCGUCUUGGUGGCAGGUCACUUCACGGGCACGCUAAGGACACCGCUCAACCCGGUGGUUGCCCGUCCCGUACGCGUGCCGGUACGUCCUCGUUCUCCUCUGGCACCUGAGGAUUUCCGCCGACGGGCGUAAAAGUGUGUUGCCUGUCGCUGUUUGCUCGUUGGCUUUUUGCACUUCAGGCGGGCAACAUGUUGAUCCAAACGCCGAAUGGCACGUGUCUGACGAUCCGGGGUAUUUCCCUGUUCUUUGACCCCGCGGCGAGUGCAUGCAACUCCACUGCAGCGGUCUUCAACUUCAUUGAAGAACCAGGUUUGUACACGACAGCUGUCACCAGUAAUGUCUGGCGCCUCUUAGGAGUGUGACGGGUGUGUACACGAGUGCUGCUCUCUCUUUCUGUAGCAGCUGGCCGCUGAAAAGGCCUCUCGAGAUGCUGGUGGUCGCGCAACGCGCGUAUUUAUAGAGCCGUACUGUGUACCUGCUGCUCUCUCUUUCGCACCUGCCUACCACACCUUCCUCCCCUGUCCUUGGCUCAUCUUGGUUACGGAUGGCACCAUGUUCUUAACGAAGCAUGCAUUUAACUGUUUGACGAGACAAAGAACAGCUGUAGAGAGCCAUGUGCCUUUUUUUAUGUCUAUUGUUCACGGAUCAUUAAAUGAUUACGUAGGUAAUGGCUGUGUGGCGUCGCGUAAUUACCUGUCCCGCCGAGUAUAUAUGGAGCGUUGUUGCGAUAUCACGUCUUUUUCAGAAAAGAACCGAUCGGCGGAUGUCAGAUCCCGUGAUAACCAGAAUACUACAAGCGUUGCAUGUAGUGGUUUUCAUCGCCAAACUUUGCACGCACACGUGUAUAUGUAGCCCUGGAGAUAGAUGAAUCACAUGAUUUAUUACCUUUUCUUAAGGUGGUCCUCCUCUUCCAUCAUAUGCGGCUGCAGACAGCACCACGGGCGGCUACCUUUACAGGAUUCGCGAGUCUGUGACGGGCCGUUGCCUGGCACUGGGAAGCGGUAAUAUCGGCUUCUGGCCGCAGCUUGGGCCCUGUGGCUCCCUAGUGGCUGGCCAGAAGUUCAUGGUGUUCGCCAAUCCCAACCUUCCUGACGGGUGAGUGCAGACGUUCCCCGAGUGCCGACACCCCACUACUUUCAGGGGGCGGAAGAUCUCACAGCUGGCGUUGGUUUGUCUUGCUGGUCUCCCAGUAUGGCAUGGGCCCUGAUUAUUAUUAUUUUGGAUCCAGGUAUUUGGAUCCAGGUAUUUGGAUCCAGGGAAUAUGUCUACGCUGCGUAUCCGUUAAAAUGACACAGUGGCGUGGCGGGCAUGACUGGAUUUGCAGAGCGCUUUAGCGCGUUUGUAAUGGCGACGUAUGUGGCGAACUGUACGACGACAGGUGCAAACAAUCACCGUGCACACCGUACUCCGUAGGUUUGCGGCAUCGUGUUCAUAAAGCGCAGCAAUAAUGCCUAAAUACGUGGCUCAAUUUUCAGCCCAUUUCAGCGUUGCAAUCUGCCCAUGAUCUUCUAAUAGCUGCGGCUGAGUAGUGAUGAUGGUGCACUCAUACGCACCUUGACCACACAUGUCGCAAUGCAGGCCAUUGUACCAGAUCGUCCCGGAAAUGAACCUGAGCACCACCAUAGACGACCGCCGCUGCCUGGGAGCUGCUUUAUCCAUUCCCCGGCUGUUCAUUGGUUGCGACGAUGGCCAGAUGAUGUCGUUCCGCCUGGUCCGCCCAGCGUCUGUAACACCACCGUCACCACCGUCACCACCGCCACCACCGUCACCACCGUCACCGUCAGUUCCCACACCGGCUGUCCAGGACCCCCCCCAGCUGUGGUACCCCUUCCCGCUGACUUUCCGCGUGGACUUCUACCCCGUCACAAGUAAGUCUGUCUCCGGAUAUCGCGAAGCCUUUUAAUCUGUCUGCUGUGAUGUGUGCACACUUGCUUAUUAUAGUAAGUUAUUUCUGUUCGAGUCAUAAGGAACAAUUAUCGUGAUGUUCCCUGAUUAAGCUCAGCACAUUAAGGUUGUACGGCACCCGAACUCCGUUUGCAGUUGACGACGCCAACCACUACGACUACGACUACAACAUUUUGGGCAGCAGCAGUCUGUACAAUCUGGACUUGAAGGUGGCAUGGACCUGGAACGGAACAGAUAAUAUUGCCGGCCUUGGCAACUACAUUGGCUCUGUGGACGCGGCUUCAGUAGCGGGCGCUGUACACGGCGGUGACAACAUCAUGUACGGCACCAUGUACGAAGAAGUUCACUGGCAGCUGGGAUACACGCCCCCGCCCACCACCUACUACGUUUGCGUAGCCUGGCGGACCUCGGCAAUUAUGAAUCAGCUGCGUGUUACCUUAACGGUAUUCAAGAACAAUCCUGUCGCGACUCUUACAAAGAUUGUUGAUACGGGAUUGUUCAACAUUGAUGGCAACACUUGCUCGCCGUCGUCCGUGGGCUACAUCGGCAGCUACGACCUCAAUUCGCCGCCGUCUCUGUCAGCACCGUCACCGUCACCGCCGCCGCCACCGGUGAACAACAUCUACCCGCUGAUGUUCAAGGCAGAUUGGCUAGUGCUUUCCGGUGUAACAGGUGGGUUAGAACCAGUGUACUGCUGGUGUACUGCUGGUGUACUGCUGGUGUACUGCUGGUGUACUGCUGGUGUACUGCUGCCAACACGCACCUUACAUCUAAAAGAUGACUUUUGCCUUUAACAGGUAGGGAUGUGGCUGGCUUGCACUGGCAAUCCUUCCGGGUUCCGGUCGUCACCGGCUGAAAAAAUCACAUUUUCCAGUGCUGCUUAUGCCAACGUUUCUCCCUCCCUCCCUUCCUUUCUCAAUAGGUCGUGGGAAUACACUUAUCGACAUGGACAUCGUCGUCUCUUGGACCAAUAGAAGCAUCACGUACGAGAUCAGCUACGACUUUCCAAGCAACGGUGGUGGCAAGUACGGCGGCAGUAGCUGGGAUCAGCGUAUCAACACUGAGAACAUCUUUUUUACAUCAAACCCGCCGCAAACCAGAUAUGAUAUUUGCCUGCGGGCUUCGGCCUGGGAAGAGAGGAAACCGGUGUUACAGGCCACCGCGGUCGUAAUGCGGUUUAACAGUAUCGUCGCGACGUUUGUACGGAAAUUGGAUAUGACACCGCCUAUGGACGGCAUGUGCAACAGCAGAGCUGCAGGCUAUCUGGGCAGUUACACGCUGGGACAGGAGCUCAUACCCUCGCCGCCUCAACCCUCUCCAAGGCCUCCCUCGCCACCUUCACCGUCACCCCCACCGCUUCCGCCACAGCCACCGUCACCGCCGCCAACCCCUACACGCAUACCGCCAUCGCCAAGACGUCCACCACCCCCACGGCCGCUGCCUCCAUCACCUUCUAGGUCACCGCCUCCAAGGCCAUCACCCUCGCCUCCAAGGCCACCGCCGCCGCCACCAUCACCAUCGCCACCAUCACCAUCGCCGCCAUCACCAUCGCCACCAUCACCAUCGCCACCAUCACCAACGCCGCCAUCACCAUCGCCACCAUCACCAACGCCGCCAUCACCAUCGCCACCAUCACCAUCGCCACCAUCACCAACGCCGCCAUCACCAUCGCCACCAUCACCAACGCCGCCAUCACCAUCGCCGCCAUCGCCAUCGCCACCAUCACCAACGCCACCAUCACCAUCGCCACCAUCACCAGCGCCGCCAUCACCAACGCCACCAUCACCAUCGCCACCAUCACCAACGCCGCCAUCACCAACGCCGCCAUCACCAACGCCGCCAUCACCAUUAGCGCCGCCAUCACCCUCGCCGCUGCAGCCUUCGGAGCUGUCAACACCACCGCCACUGUUGGCCCCCCGACUGCGACUGCAGCCACCCCCUACGCAGCCAGCAUCGCUGUCCCCCCCGACUAUGCCGAGCCCCUCAAAUCCCACUUCACGUCCCCAAUCUACAACAGAACCCGAACAGUUGCCGGGCUCCUCACCAUCACCGCCUUUGAAGCUCCCGCCUCCGCUGCUCUCGCCUCCUCUUCCAUCCGGCGAGACGUGGCUAAAGUGCCCAGACCCUCUUCCGUUUCCAAGCAGCCUAGUAACCCUAUACUUCUGCGUGGCGUGGUUUGACAGCAAAGGUACGGUAUCAGUGUUUAAACCUCUAGAUGUAUAUGAAAAUACCACUGGCCAGACAAACUGUCUCCAUUGCGGCCGGGGGCUGCAACGAGAGGGGUCCGACGCUCUCUACCUCAGAUAAAUCACAGCCCUACUAAAUUUACUUCUCCAGUUCAACUUUAUUUUGUAUUCCGUUGCUUGAUUAGGAAACGACCUACGAGUUAAUGCUGGUUAAUGCUCCAGGCCAUUCAGUAUUUAUCAGUCAGGAUUUCUAUAUAUAUACUGCACAUAGGUGCUGAUGAUUUCAAUUACAUUUAUUCAAUAAUAAUGUGCUGGAGUAGUCUGCCCAUUUAACGUGUUCGACCUGACGUAGGACUAUUGUACUGAUUAUUUUCCGCUCUUCGUUUGUCAAACGGCCGCCGCCGGAGCUUCCACGCACUGAGAUUAUUAUGGCGUUGUUCAAAUCUGAGUCAUGAUUAUCCUUUUGAAGGAAAAAUUUGACCUGCGCGUGUGUGUGUGUGUGUGUGUGUGUGUGAUUGCGUGUUUCCCUAGUUCCCGAACUAACGGUCAGCAGGGUCCGGCUUCGAGGCGUCUGCCCGCCAGACCAACGUGGCACGAACGUUCGGCGGUUGAUAUUUUAUACUUUUUAUUAAUAAUAUUAUGUGAAUUGCUAGAGAGUGUAUGUAAUACAUAAGAGUAUUGAUAUAUAGCUGCGCUCCGAAACUCUCCGGGUGUCCUCAUGCACGUGUGCUCAAAGGCCCGGCCGCCACGGCGGCGUACGAUUGGGACAUGGUCGUGGCUUGGACAGACAACGAGCAGACGUACGAGGUAAACUCAAUUGUUAACAGUACUGGCGGUGCCGUGCACGGAGGCGACAACACCAAUCUAGCCGGCAAUCCAAACGCAGAGGUAAGUGGUUAUUACUUCAAUGAAAAGUCGCCUUGGGUGCAAGAUGCAAUGCACGAAGCAGAUCUAGUGGAUUCACGGCAUGAUGAACAGAACAAUUCAAUUUUUGGAAUUUUUUUUACUACAUGUGGCGUACCCCCCCGCCCCUGAUGCAGGUGGUGUUCUGGCCUAAUGGCCUCGCGGAUGUGAGGCCCGAUGACUACCACGUCUGCGUGCGGUGGUAUCAGCCGGGGGCUCUCAACGUAACGCUCACGGUUUCUCUGGGCCCUACGGUGGUUCAAACCGCAUCAGCUUAUUGGACGAGCAACACCUUCUUCAGCAAGCAAUGCAACCCGGAUGCCAUCGGAUACGUCGGCAGUUACACGUUCACGGGCCGCGGCUAGGUAGACUACAUAGCAGUAAUGGACGCGCAAACAUCAACAUAGCUCAAUACAACGCACCAAACAAUUUCGCGUUCCUUACAAAAAAUAUAUGUUUUACUUCCAGGAGGCUCGAGGGGGCGUUAUUUGAAGGCAUUAUGUCUAUGUUCGUUUGGGCUGGGCAGCUGCUUUCUAGUGUACAGCGAGGGAGGGCCUUGAGGGUACUCAAGCUGCAGCAGUAGUAGUUGUAUAUGUUUGACGAGUAGGACAGCAUUCAGUCAGCAGCAGGCGCGUGUCGCAACUGGCGAACGAAUUGAUGUUUCGAUGAGCUUAUAUGCUUGAUGCAUUACGGAUAGCGGCUCUCAGCAAGAUGCACAUUUCGACAUUCACCGGGACGUCGCUGUUUAAAUAUGCUGCCCAUCGCGAUUCCAGAGAACGAUACAGGAUGUUGUCGUCGGUGCGAGCCGCUGGUAUACCAGCGACGCCUGGGUGGCUGCGUAGCUACCAGCAGGAAGAUAGCUCGCAGCAGCGCCACCAUUUAGAUAGCGAUGGGGCUCGCUUUCCGACCUCCUUUCUUGUCGUUCCCGCCUCCUGUAUCAUUGGUGCUAUACAGUUGAUUCGUAUACAGUAGAUUCGUACGACUGUCGCUGGGUUCCGUUAGAGCUAACCGCAGUCGUCGCAGGGUGGCAGGCAGCUGUCGUCGCCAUACAUGGUAUAUAGACGAGGAUAGUCUGAGAAGAGAGGGCUAAUGCUGCCAGGCAGGCAAGCUGACGCGAAGGCAGCACCGGGCGGGCAGGAUGGCUGGCAGGAUGGGCAGCUAGAUGGACAAGCAAGCAUGCAAAUCUUGCACUACUCAUCAAGCACAUUCACGAACAUGCACACGCAGGCAAGGCACAUACAUGUCACACCUCAGGAAUGCCGGGGAAUUUAUUGAUUCUGACUCCAUUAGUAGUUCAUUCCCAUUAAAUCGCUGUUGUUUAUUUCGUGUCUUCACGUUCAGGUCCUUCCCUGCUGCUGUGCAUACAUAGUCGUCAAGGGUUACAUACAUACAGUAUCACAUCAACAGGGCUUUAUCUUAAAUAGGAAUGGAUUAUGAUCAUGCUGGAUUGUAAUGCCUCUACGUUCGUGGAAAUUAGGUGUUGGAGAGUGAUCAGCACUCAUGUACUUACUUCCGGGUUUUGUGAGGAGUAGUUAGUCACUACGCACGGCCGCGGCCUGCCUGGGUAGCCCAGUUCUUGGGGCGCUUUUCCUCCACUACACUCACUAGAAAGUCAUCCACGCAUGCGCCCUGGAUAGAGCAGAGCCUUGUAGAGUUCCAACCGCGUCCGUCCGUCCAUAACGCGUGCAACAACGAAGUAAAAUAAAGUUGACAGGAACGAGCCCUUGUAGCGGCUGGGACUGCUGCAACGCCUGGGGUUGUAUGUUGCUUGAGCACAGCAGGGGUGCUUGAAAACCUGUCAAGUAGUUUCCAGGUAGCAGCGGUACUUUGGAAUGGAAUGAAGGACGGACCGAUGGGGGGGCAUCGAGAACUUUUUAUCGAUGUACCGGAUAUAAUAUAGCCCACUGACGGCGUAUGUAGGUAACGAUGUGGCGAUGGUACUGUCAUCGCCAACACUAGCAAUAGUACUAUUGCUAGCUGCGUGCGUGCGUGCGUGCGUGGAGCCAGGUCAUCGUAGUUCACCAUCAUCAUCAUCAGUGCAUCUCAUCAAAGGAUGCAAUACGCAGGCAGGGAAAAUGUGCAGUUUGUGUGUUUGGUAAUCAAUACGGGUGCUAGGCUGGCGCGCGGCUUUAUUAUUGGAUUAUAGCUGGCGGCUUUUCUUAUCUUAGAAUCUUAGUGUCCAGCUCACACUGGAUGCAUGGUAUGUCAUUACUAGAUAGCCAGCAUAGCAUUGCAGUGUUGGAAGGGGGGCACGGAAUGUAGAUUUUGCUUCCAAAGUACAAUCGGCGGUGCUGCACUUACAGUGCGUUUGGAGCACGCACGGACCUGCCGGUGGUAUAGGUUAUUACAUGCAACCCAUGGCCAGGAGCCACGGCAUGCUAGCGCCACGUCCUUAUAUUUUUCGGCAGGUGGGAUAGACAAAUUGUUGGUGGAGUUAUUGAUGAUUGCGCUGUGUGCAGUGUAGGAUUUUAUAUCUGUAGAAGACGGUUUGGUUGGCUGCUGGCGAGGAGGAGCUGGCUGCGUGGGACGCCGGAGGCAGGCACGGUGGUCGGUACAUAAUGCUGGCCUGCUGGCCUGCAGGUGGUUCAGGAUUACGGGGCGGGCGUGGCGGACCUUUGCCGUCAUGACGACGCCUUCAUCAUGCACGCUCACUAUGGUGGUGUCAGUAAAACCCCCGGGGUUUUUACCAAAGAGCCCGCAUCUGUUAGCACGUCAUAUGGCGUGACACCUUUGGUCGGUCCUUUGUUUACCAUGUGGCUGUUGGCUGUGGUGUCCUACACUGGCGAUACUAAUCAAACAUAGUUGUAUGUCUAUAUCGGGGACCGGGGGGUUAUAUUCAUUGUUUACUACCAUAACCUUUCCAAGUCCAGUCGAGUGUUCCGGCACGUGCGGGAUCCCGCCGGGGCAUGCAUGCAUGAUGGAUGGCCAGUGAGCUUUCGCGUUACUGUGUCGUCGAAAUGGUUUGGUGGAUCUAGGUGAAGUGCCGAUAUGUGUGUGUGUGUGUGUGUGCUAACAUGGUUGGGGGUGCGUGACCCCGUACCCGUGUCAAUAUACAUCAUCCAUCAAAACUUGUUUUUUUUCACUAGCAAACUAAGGGGUCAUUAUCUUGCGCGUCCUCAACUGCGCUUCGCUUUUCUUUAGGCACUCUAUUUAUCUUCCUCGAUGGGGUCUGGGAUCGUUGGUGAUGUUUGUGAUUUUCGCGGCACCUGCUGAGGCGUCCGAUGGUUUUCGGCUGGUUGCGGCUCGCGUGCACCUUUCAUUCUUUAGAUUCCAGUGGAAGAAGACAUAUUCAUUAAGCCAGAAAUAUAUCUGAUAUGAUCUUGGAUGAAUUUGCUUCCGCAGCAGAACAGGAAAACGUACUUGCAUUGAAGUACCUACCGACGGUAUGUAUCGGCUGCUGAUAGGUAUAUGCUAUGCGCGAAUGACCUGAAAGAUCAGAAGGAUCACUUUUGAAUGAUGAGA
rnacentral:lncRNA from 1 species